rnacentral:rRNA from 1 species
ACUAAACGAAUAAGCACCGGCUAACUCCGUGCCAGCAGCCGCGGUAAUACGGAGGGUGCAAGCGUUAUCCGGAAUCAUUGGGUUUAAAGGGUCCGCAGGCGGAUGUAUAAGUCAGUGGUGAAAUCCUGCAGCUUAACUGCAGAACUGCCAUUGAUACUGUACAUCUUGAAUUCGGUCGAAGUGGGCGGAAUGUGUAGUGUAGCGGUGAAAUGCAUAGAUAUUACACAGAACACCGAUAGCGAAGGCAGCUCACUAGGCCUGGAUUGACGCUCAGGGACGAAAGCGUGGGGAUCAAACAGGAUUAGAUACCCUGGUAGUCCACGCUGUAAACGAUGAUUACUCGUUUUCGGCGAUAUACAGUCGGAGACUAAGCGAAAGUGAUAAGUAAUCCACCUGGGGAGUACGAUCGCA